UGGGAAGAAUCAAGGGGCUGGAUACCUGUCGACACUCUCCUGGGUGCUUUUUAGAAAUGUGGUGUGAAGGCAGCUCUUCUGUCUUAUAAGAUGGGGGUCCUGCUUGGAAACACUAGAGACUGGACUAGCAAUGGGAUAAAGAAAAGCUGAAAGGAUUCAGGCAGGUCUGCUGCGUUUAUCCCCUCACCCAGAAAGGUUCCCAGGGUGACGCAGACUCGAGGUGUUUGACCCAGGAUGCCUGUCUCCCACAGAUGGAGGGAACGGCCCAGGAACUGAAACUUCUGCCCUCACUAUGGUUUUCUCCUCUCUAGCUCAAUCCAUGUAUCCAAUGGAGUUGGUGUAUUCAGAAAAGGAUAAAUUAUAGUUUACAUCUGAAUCCCUUGUGAACUCAGGCCAUCACCCAGCCAAGACCAAACUGUGGUUUCCUGAGAGAAACACUGUCUCACUGGGUGAGCCCUGAAAGAAGAUGUACACUAACACUAUGCAGAGCAUAUUAUGAAGUUUUCCAAAGCUGCUAACAGCAUCUAGAGAUAGUUAAAAGCAAUCAGUUCCUCCCCCUGCAACUCCAGCAACUCAUGCUACACUGCAAUAUGAAAAGAUGUACUAAGAGCAUUCAACUGACAUUUAAAGUUUUGUCUAAACUGGCAAGUGGAGCAAAAGCUGCCCAUAGGAUAAGUAUUAAAAAAAUAUUUACAUUCUACUUAUAUCCUUAGAGAAACAGAAUUUGACAAAUCAUGAGCUUCAUUCACCAGCAUUCUGAAAUGGACAAAACUUGUGCUGGUAAACAGGGUUCAUUUAACUAAAAUGUAGACCAAUUAUGUGUGAUAUGAGCAUAUGUGCAGAACUGUUUCAGAAGAAUGCAGCAACGUUAUAUAACAGCAUGUGGUGAUACAGUGUAACUGUUUAUGGUCAGAAAUUAGAAUUAUUAGAUGAAAAUGAUUUGCAGGGGAAUUCUAGGUUCUACAGUGCAUCUCAAGAAGAUGGAAAUCAGACUGAUGAGUGGAAUAAAUUUCCGAACUCAUAAUAAUCUGGUCAGAGAGAAGGCUUAGCACAAGCAAAGCAGUUCAGCUACCAUAGAUACCUAUCAACAUUUAAACAACACUUUUCACUAUGCAUUUAACAGGUGAAGAGAACAGAGGGACCACAGUUGCCUGCGAAUCUCAGUCUCUGUGCCCAAACAGAAUCUGAAGUCAAAUUGAAUUUGACCUGGACCAAUGUAACAUAUAUUUGAAUAUAGUAAACUAAGCAUGCCUAAUUUCUAUUCAGAGAUUAUAAGAGAUUUCUGUAUCAGGAGUUGGUAUGACAUCCAUUCCAUUCCCUACUGACAUGACAUCCAUUUUCAUUCAUCUACUGAUGACUGACACUGCUAGAAAUAGCAUUACUGAUAGGACAUUAACCAGGGGUGAAGUAAGAAGCAAAGAAGGAAAUUUCCCACAGUUCAGCCAGAAACCUUAGAAGAAAAUCCUGCGAUAAAGUGGAACUACUGUUUGUUUGUCCUACAGUAAGAUCUUCUGAUAUUAAUAAUUAUUUCUUUCAUAGGCCCCACCAAUUGGAGAUUGAACUGCUGAUAAGUGCAAUGUUGAAACUUGCUUUUCUUGUUUGUGAGAGUAAGCAUUUUAUUAAUCACUUCUGUGGCAUUUACAUACCACUGCAAUUUUUAUCCUACUCUUGUUUCUGUGCCUAACCACUUAAGCACUGAUUUUUAAUGUUGCAUUAUAUUGCCUAUCCCAUAAUAGAUACCUACAUGAGCUUUCAUCACUAUAUUACCUUAGGAUUUCCACCCAAGGGACCAAUGUAAUUCAGAAAAUACUAGUGGAAAGCACAUUAAAAGUUAUGUCCUUAAAUCAAUCAGUUGUUGAAUGAUUCAACCUAAACCUGCAACACACUCAUUCAUGGCUAGUCAUGGAGACAUCUGUUGCCUCUUUCCAGACAAUGAAUUUCUAGUGACAAUGCUACACAUGCAACAGAAAAGGCUUCAUGGACGUUGCUCCUUCAAACCAUUCUUCCAAAUUCCAUAUCAUCCUUUGGAAGAGGCAAGGUGACUGUUGGAGGCAGCCCUAGAUCUUUAGAAAAUCUGCCUGCUGACAUCAGAAGAAAGUUCUUAUGCUCCUUUCAAGCUCUAAGAUGUGUGCAGUUUUGCCCAUGUAGCAUGGCUCUUGCCCCAGGCCACAGAAGGGAGAACAAGAGUGGGCUGUCACUUCAGUAAAUGUGUUUUAGAAGACUGGUCAACUUGCCUGUAUUUAAACAAAAUUAGCAGAUGAAGAUGUGUGCACCAUGUAAGUCAGCUAGGUCACUGCAAUUAGUGAUGUUUUAUAAUCCGGUUUGGUAGCCAAAAUUUUUAAAAGCCCUUGUAGUUGUAAAAAUAAAGAAAAUUGGUGGCUUAGGGCUAUGCAGAUGUUUUUAUAUAUAUAUUGUACAAACAUUGCUAAACCCAUAUAAACGAUAUGUUGGCUCUGUUCCUUCUACCACAUUUUCAAGAAAUCAGUGAGACUGCCUUAUUUUCUUUGUUUAGUGUGUGUCUGCUAUGGCAAAAUGUGCAAUGGAAAAACAACAUGAAUAAUUUGAUGCUACUUUUUUUCUUCAAUUUUAUAUACAAUUCUUGGUAAACAGAUUCUUGGUAAAUUAAAAGUCUAACAUUUUCUUAUAAAAAUGCUUUUCUUUCUCAGAACUUGUUUCUCAUUCCUUCUGCUUCUGCACUUGCAUAUACUUCCUAAAGAGUAUUUCUCAACUUGUGGACAGAUAAAAACUCCUGUGCUCUUGGCUGAAGUUGAAUCAACAUCCAGAUACAAGGCUGGUCACACAAAACUCCCAGAAUUUGCUGUAUACACUUAGGUUAGAUUUACAAAAAAUCACCACUUGCUAGCUAGGUGUCAAAACAAUCACUUUCCUGACUUCAUUCAAUGUUCACUUUCCCAGCUGUGUUAAUAUAGAUGUGUACACAUAUCUUCCCAUUUAAUUAGCUCUAUAAGUAUCUUAAAGUA